rnacentral:rRNA from 1 species
AUUGAACGCUGGCGGUAUGCUUAACACAUGCAAGUCGAACGGUAACAGGCCUAGCUUGCUAGGUGCUGACGAGUGGCGGACGGGUGAGUAACGCGUAGGAAUCUGCCUUAUUGAGGGGGAUAACCUGGGGAAACUCAGGCUAAUACCGCAUGAGCCCUUAGGGGGAAAGGAUGGGACCGAAAGGCCAUUCGCGAUAAGAUGAGCCUGCGUUGGCUUAGCUAGUUGGUGGGGUAAAAGCCUACCAAGGCGAGGAUCCAUAGCUGGUCUGAGAGGACGAUCAGCCACACUGGGACUGAGACACGGCCCAGACUCCUACGGGAGGCAGCAGUGGGGAAUAUUGGACAAUGGGGGCAACCCUGAUCCAGCAAUACCGCGUGUGUGAAGAAGGCCUGCGGGUUGUAAAGCACUUUCAGUGGGGAGGAAGAGCUCGGUGCUAAUAGUAUCGAGUUGAGACGUUACCCACAGAAGAAGCACCGGCUAACUCUGUGCCAGCAGCCGCAGUAA